GCUUACGGCCAUGCCACCUUGAAUGUGCCCGAUCUUGUCUGAUCUCGGAAGUUAAGCAGGGGCAGGCCUGGGUAGUACUUGGAUGGUCGACCGCCUGGGAAUACCCGGUGCUGUAAGGU
rnacentral:rRNA from 1 species